GUUGACCUGUCGUGGCAAGUUUUUCUUGGUCAAGUCCGUCAGGGGAUUGGCCAGGGCGCUGUAAUUGGGCACAAAUUUUCUGUAGUAACCAGCGGUACCAAGGAACGCCAAUACUUGUGUCUUUGUCCUGGGGGUAGGCCACUUAGCUACUGCCUCUAUCUUGGCCGGUUCGGGCCUCUGCUGUCCGCAAUCUACCCUGUGACC